UUAAGCAUAUCACUAAGCGGAGGAAGAGAAACUAACAAGGAUUCCCUUAGUAACUGCGAGUGAAGAGGGAAAAGCCCAGCACCGAAGGUAGUAUUCAUUUGAGUACCUACCAAUGUGGUGUUAAGGUCGACUUGUAUAAGUGUGGCUCCAUCUCAAGUCCAGCAAUGAGUACGGUUUUUUGGACUUGGCCCAAAGUGGGUGAAAGGCCCGUGGAGGUGGAGAUCAGAAAUGUCCGCGCUUAUCGAGUUUGACCAUGGAGUCGGGUUGUUUGUGAAUGCAGCCCAAAGUGGGUGGUAAACUCCAUCCAAGGCUAAAUACGUACACGAGUCCGAUAGCGAACAAGUACCGUGAGGGAAAGUUGAAAAGUACUUUGAAGAGAGAGUAAACAGUGCGUGAAGCCGCAUAGAGGUUAAACGGGUAGAGUUAAGCUGCGUGAGUCAUGGAUUCAGCCGGUGAAUUUGGCUUGUGCUUGGACAUAAUGCAAUCAUCUGAGUCUGCUUAGCUGCAGGUCCCUCUGGGAUUCGCGAGGCACUUUUUAAGUGUUGCGUGCUCAGCUGACAUUACAGCUAUUUGCCGGUGCACUUCCAUGACUUCCAGACCACGAUCGGUGUUGUUGGACUGCUCCUGUUGUCAAACUGUGGAUGUAGGCCUCAACCUAUGUCCUCGGUGUGAUAGUACCUCCACGAAUGUGGGCCGCAGUUGUCAGCGGGCAGCAGUUCGAUGGACCGUGACGGCGGCCUAGGCAUGCUUUCAUGCUCUCUGCUAGAAAAUAGUGUGUAUGGCUAUCAUGUGCUUGUGUAAGCAAGCCUGAUGGCUACAUAUUGUUAUCUGGUAGUGUGGUGUGUGAGAAGCCGCUUAAAUGGGCCAAAGUCGGUGGUGUGUGGUAAACUUUCUACCCGACCCGUCUUGAAACACGGACCAAGGAGUUUAACAUGUGCGCGAGUCAUUGGGCUAUACGUAACCUAGAGGCGAAGUGAAAGUGAAGGUUUGCAUUUGCAAGCUGUGGUGAGAUCCUGUCGUUUCCUGUGUCGCCGGGCAUUCGAGCGGCAGGCGCAUCACCGGUCCGUCCAAUAAUGUGGUUGAUUUUCAGUGAUUUUGCGUCAUUGGGGCGGAACAUGAGCGCACACGUUGAGACCCGAAAGAUGGUGAACUAUGCUUGCGCAGGUUGAAGCCAGGGGAAACCCUGGUGGAGGACCGCAGCGAUUCUGACGUGCAAAUCGAUCGUCAAACGUGAGUAUAGGGGCGAAAGACUAAUCGAACCAUCUAGUAGCUGGUUCCCU
rnacentral:rRNA from 1 species